AAGGGGAGAGAGAUUGGUUAUGUGGUUGACUUGAAAUCAAAAUAUGGGGGUUCAAUUC
rnacentral:tRNA from 1 species